UUUUAACUCUUCUGAUGGCAGCUCUUCAUGGUCUGAAUUAUUCAGCGCUCAGCAUUAUCUGACGCCCUACAGAUUUGAAUCCUGCUGCGUUGGACUCAUGGUCAGUGGUGUGCAUUGUGAAUCACAGAAGAUCAUAUGAGCAAACUGUACAUACCGAUACAGACGACAUCCAUGAAGCCGUACAUCCCGUAACAGAUCUGGA